rnacentral:rRNA from 1 species
AACGAACGCUUGCGGCGCGCCUAAUACAUGCAAGUCGAACGAGAAAGUAACUUCGGUUACGAGUAAAGUGGCGGACGGGUGAGGAACGCGUGGAUAAUCUGCCCUUUAGCGGGGGAUAACUACUCGAAAGAGUAGCUAAUACCGCAUAGUGCUGCGACUUCUGCGGAAGAUGUAGCUAAAGGCUUCGGCCACUAAAGGAUGAGUCCGCGUCCGAUUAGCUUGUUGGUGGGGUAAAAGCCUACCAAGGCUACGAUCGGUAGCUGGUCUAAGAGGAUGAUCAGCCACACUGGAACUGAGACACGGUCCAGACUCCUACGGGAGGCAGCAGUAGGGAAUAUUGCACAAUGGAGGAAACUCUGAUGCAGCGACGCCGCGUGAGUGAUGAAGGCCUUCGGGUUGUAAAGCUCUGUGAUAGGGGAAGAUAAUGACGGUACCCUAUCAGAAAGGACCGGCUAACUUCG